rnacentral:rRNA from 1 species
CUACGGGAGGCAGCAGUGGGGAAUAUUGCACAAUGGGCGGAAGCCUGAUGCAGCAACGCCGCGUGAGGGAUGACGGCCUUCGGGUUGUAAACCUCUUUUAGCAGGGAAGAAGCGAGAGUGACGGUACCCUGCA